AGACUAAUGAUGAUUCUAUACUUAAUGUUACUGACCAGUGGGUAGCUGAAGAUACUAGCAUGUUGCAUGAGUCU
rnacentral:snoRNA from 14 species